GACCUGUUGGCGCACUCGGCAGCGCACCCACAAUAACUACUGAGUGCUGAGCUUCCGAAGACAGUAUGUGGGAGGCCCCAGUUCGACUCUGGGACGGGUCA